UACGUAGGGGGCAAGCGUUGUCCGGAUUUAUUGGGCGUAAAGAGCGUGUAGGCGGCCAGGUAGGUCAGCUGUGAAAACUCGAGGCUCAACCUCGAGACGCCGGUUGAAACCAUCUGGCUAGAGUCCGGAAGAGGAGAGUGGAAUUCCUGGUGUAGCGGUGAAAUGCGCAGAUAUCAGGAGGAACACCGGCGGCGAAGGCGGCCCUCUGGACCGUUGCUGACGCUGAGACGCGAAAGCGUGGGGAGCAAACAGG
rnacentral:rRNA from 1 species